GAGAAAGAGAGAGAGAGAGAGAGAGAGAGAGAGAGAGAGAGAGAAAGAGAGAGUGAGUGAGAGAGAAAGAGGGAGAGAAAGGUAUCCGACGAUCUCAGUGUUAGCCUUGUAUCACUGUACAAUUUGUUAUUCAGUGUAAAACAGUUUUUCUGUAAUGUAUAUACGUAUAUAUUAAUAACUAUUAUUAAUUAUUAUUAAUGAUUACAAUGAAGCUAUUCGAUUAACUAUUAUUAAUUGUACUUGCUGAUUAUUGAUAACGAUUAUAACGGAGAAACCAGAAGCUAAUGCGAGUGCUUUUAUGCGUGUAUAAAAGAAGAAAAGAAAAAAAAAAAAGAAUAUUUUGCGUGUAAUGGUAAAAAAGGCUGUGCUGCCCAGCUGAAAACGAACAAAA